rnacentral:SRP_RNA from 1 species
GUCCAGCUCAGAGCACCCACUGCGCGCCUGGUGGCAAUGACCCCCCCGCAGAGCGGCCUGGCGGUCCCCAUCGGACAGUCU